rnacentral:rRNA from 1 species
GAUGAACGCUGGCGGCGUGCCUAAUACAUGCAAGUCGAGCGAAUGACGAGGAGCUUGCUCCUCUGAUUUAGCGGCGGACGGGUGAGUAACACGUGGGUAACCUGCCUGUAAGACGGGGAUAACUCCGGGAAACCGGAGCUAAUACCGGAUGAUAACGAGAAGCGCCUGCUCCUUUUUUGAAAGUCGGUUUCGGCUGACGCUUACAGAUGGGCCCGCGGCGCAUUAGCUAGUUGGUGAGGUAACGGCCCACCAAGGCGACGAUGCGGAGCCGACCUGAGAGGGUGAUCGGCCACACUGGGACUGAGACACGGCCCAGACUCCUACGGGAGUCAGCAGUAGGGAAUCUUCGGCAAUGGACGAAAGUCUGACCGAGCAACACCGCGUGAGCGAUGAAGGCCUUCGGGUCGUAAAGCUCUGUUGUCAGAGAAGAACAAGUACCGGAGUAACUGCCGGUACCUUGACGGUACCUGACCAGAAAGCCACGGCUAACUACGUGCCAGCCGCCGCCGUAACAC